CAACACAGGAAGGUCACACCAUCUCUCACCAUCAUCAGGGCGAAGAACUAAAAGACGUCAAAGUUGAGGAAGAAGAAGAAGAAGAAGAGAGGUUGGUGAGUGGAGAUCAGCAGUCUAUGGAGGAGAGAGGUCCUCUGUAUUCCCGGGAUUCCACCCAGGAAAAUCAGAACUAUACAGAUAAUAAUCAGGGUGAAGAACGGAAAGACAUCAAAGUUGAGG